GCCCUUUAAGGUCAGCCAGGAGAAGCUGGCUCAAAGUAUCAUCUAUACAUGCAAAGAGAAUACAGCUGAAAGUGUGGGCCUGAGCUUUCUCAGUUGUAGCUCUUGCUUCCCUAGGUGAUGAACUGCCAUGGAUACAAAACAGGCAAAGAUUCUCAAUUUCUGGAGGGACUAUUCCAAUGAAGGUUCAUCAUUGCUCUGACCCAGCAGGAAGAGCUACAAUAUUCAGGCUUCCAUUUGCUCAGGAUCAAAGGAAUCAAUGUGGUGGUUCUCUUCCUUUGACAGCCUUUCCACACAAUCAACUUUUCUGCCUGAUUGUUAAGACUGUAGGUAAAUAUGUGAGCUGAAUAAGCAAGAAUGUGAAAGA